UGUGGGAGCUGGCUUGCCUGCGAUGACUGAGUGUCAGACAACAUAUUUUUAUGCUGACCCACCGCUAUCGCAGGCAAGCCAGCUCCCACA
rnacentral:ncRNA from 2 species